CAAGUCGUGGGGCAGCAUGAGUAGCAAUACUUGAUGGCGACCGGCAAACGGGUGCGGAACACGUACACGACCUUCCGUCAAGCGGGGAAUAGCCCAGAGAAAUUUGGAUUAAUACCCCAUAAUAUAUUUGAUAAGGCAUCUUAUUAAUAUUAAAGCUUCGGCACUUGAUGAUGGGUGUGCGGCUGAUUAGAUAGUUGGUGAGGUAACGGCUCACCAAGUCUACGAUCAGUAGCUGAUGUGAGAGCAUGAUCAGCCACACGGGCACUGAGACACGGGCCCGACUCCUACGGGAGGCAGCAGUAAGGAAUAUUGGACAAUGGACGCAAGUCUGAUCCAGCCAUGCCGCGUGAAGGAUUAAGGUCCUCUGGAUUGUAAACUUCUUUUAUAGGGGACGAAAAAAGGGCAUUCUUGCUCACUUGACGGUACCCUAUGAAUAAGCACCGGCUAACUCCGUGCCAGCAGCCGCGGUAAUACGGAGGGUGCAAGCGUUAUCCGGAUUCACUGGGUUUAAAGGGUGCGUAGGCGGGUAGGUAAGUCAGUGGUGAAAUCUCAGAGCUUAACUCUGAAACUGCCAUUGAUACUAUCUAUCUUGAAUAUUGUGGAGGUUUGCGGAAUAUGUCAUGUAGCGGUGAAAUGCUUAGAUAUGACAUAGAACACCUAUUGCGAAGGCAGCAGGCUACACAUAUAUUGACGCUGAGGCACGAAAGCGUGGGGAUCAAACAGG
rnacentral:rRNA from 1 species